ACCUUACGUCAGGCCCAUUUUCAGAUGAGGAAACUGAAACUUACAGAGGCUGAGUAAUAUGCCCAGGAUCUCACAGAAAAAUGAGUCUGAGUACCUAUCGGGCCAGGAAAGGAUGUGGGGAAACCUCAGAUGCAUACUACUAGGUGAAAAGAAGCCAAUCUGAAAAAGCUACAUGGCAUAGAAGUCCAACUACAAGACACGCUAGAAGACGCAAAACAUGGAGACGGUAAAAGGAUAAGGACCUGAGCCUGGAGGUGAUCUAGCUUGUCUGCUGGCCCUCAGUUAACCAAUGUCACACCUGGAUUAAAGUUUCUGGCUUCCUCACUCCUGGCGUCCACUGGUCUUUAUAUUGUUUUUUAUUUUUAAUUUUUAAAAUAUUUUAUUGUUUUGUUUCAUUUUAUUUUUUUAGAACUCGGACCUGUAGCCAGGUCGGGUGGCACCUGCUUGUAAUUCCAGCACUCUGGGAAACUGAAGCAGGAAGAUCUCAAAUUUGAGCACAGACUAGGAAAUUUAGCAAGUUAGCAAGACUGUCUCAAAAUAAAACAUUAAGAAAAGGCCCAGGGCUGUAGUUCAGUGGAAAGAC
ensembl:lncRNA